rnacentral:rRNA from 1 species
AUUGAACGCUGGCGGCAGGCCUAACACAUGCAAGUCGAACGGUAACAGAAAGCAGCUUGCUGCUUUGCUGACGAGUGGCGGACGGGUGAGUAAUGUCUGGGAAACUGCCUGAUGGAGGGGGAUAACUACUGGAAACGGUAGCUAAUACCGCAUAACGUCGCAAGACCAAAGAGGGGGACCUUCGGGCCUCUGGCCAUCGGAUGUGCCCAGAUGGGAAUAGGUUGUUGGUGGGGUAACGGCUCACCAAGGCGACGAUCCCUAGCUGGUCUGAGAGGAUGACCAGCCACACUGGAACUGAGACACGGUCCAGACUCCUACGGGAGGCAGCAGUGGGGAAUAUUGCACAAUGGGCGCAAGCCUGAUGCAGCCAUGCCGCGUGUAUGAAGAAGGCCUUCGGGUUGUAAAGUACUUUCAGCGGGGAGAAAGGGAGUAAAGUUAAUACCUUUGCUCAUUGACGUUACCCGCAGAAGAAGCACCGGCUAACUCCGUG